GGGAGGAGUAGGUGAGGAGGCAGGCAGCUGCUAUCAUCUGAUCGAUAAACUUAUAUAGCGAAUAGCGUUCACGAUUUCCCCUUUUAAGUUGAUGUCACGCUUUCGUUUCGUAACCUCAGGAUCUUUAAUUAAACGGCAGGUAAUUGAUGUCAUUAAUCUCUCGACAGGGGCACCCAAACACCUCGAGUUAAGUUGCCUAAACGUUAUUUAAAGUUAGGAGGGAAGGAAGGUUUCCGCGGACUGGCUAACUGGCAACGCCUUCCCCUCGUCGUCAGUCAGCUGUUGGGGCGCUGCACCAGACCCAGGAAAUUUCCCUUUAACCGAACGGUGACAAUUCGUACCGGAGGGAGAGAGUGAGAAAGCAGUAAACCUCUCCCGAGGCUUCGUCGUUAAACUCCCAUGUGAUCAAGUGCCAAAAGCUCGCCAGCCGUUGGUGGGUGGGGCGAACGCCCCCUACUAUAUGCCACAGUUCCAAGCAAACCGUCGCCCAGGUCAAUGGAAACCUAGGCCCACCUGAAUGACUGGCUGUCAAUUCGAGGCAUGUUUUAAGGAAUGUCAGUGCCUGGGAUUGUUGGGUGCAGCCGAGUGAGUAUGGGUUCCUGUAGAGUGUGUGUCAUUCAAGCCCCUUCUGAGAUGACAACCACCUCCCCCCACCGGACUGUCUGAACCAGAAUGUCGCACCCAUUCACCAACAUCAGGAUCGAUCACGCUGGUCCUAUUCAUGUGGAAGGAGGGAUAGGAUAUCUGUUGAUAAUCACUUGUGUCGUGAAAAAAUAAGUGCAAAUAUUUUUCCAUGACUUAUUCCCGUAUGUCCACAUAUGCCAAAAACACCAUGUAUACGUCAGUUGGUAACAAGAACGAGAUGGUUCUUAAGUCACAUUGCCUUUUCAUUGUUUCGUAACUUUUACUCCAUGUGGAAUACACUCAUACCAGUUGUGUUGCAUUAAUUUCAACUUGCAUAAAGGAAAUAAGUUCUUACUGUAAAAUUUAAUUUGACCAAAAUUGACUUGCCCAAGAGGAUAUAAAUAAGCUCCGUCCACCUCAAUCGCCCUUCUAUCUAGAGAUCACAACCCAACAGAUCGGGCCGAGGGGGGAGCUCCUGUUUGAUACAAGAGUGUGGCAUCGAACUACGAUACAUCUCCACCAAACAGAACCCAGCUGACAUCCUGACCCAUGGCUCUACCUUGAAUGAACUGAAACUGAAUCGUUUGUGGCAAGAAGGACCUGCCUUUCUACGACAUGAGGGGAUUGCUGAGCUGUAUGCCGAGGAAGGAGAAACUCCCAUCUGACAACAAGUUGUAAUUAUAGCUCCCCUGAGAGAGCUCAGGGAAGAAGGAACACUGACUCCACCAACAGAACUGGGAGUUACAGGGGAGUGGUGUUAAUUUUGUCCAACUAAUGAAAGUUAUGCAGCUAGUCCUGAAAUAUGGGAACUGCCCGGCAAAAUUAUUUUGCAAAUUUUUAUACUUAGAACAAAGACACCACCUUCCUAAAGUGUGUAUGUUGUUGUUGAAGAUUAAGCUGGCUUUAUGCCAGCACGGGCUCUUGCUCAAGAGCAGCCCGUAGAUUAGAAAGUGGAUUGCGAGUGCCACCUACAUGGAUAAUUUUGUCAAACAACUUAGCUUAGUACUCAAAAUAUACUCAAAAUCGAUUGAUUAAUGCUAGUGAUAGUAAAAACGAAUUAAUGUUGCUGCCUUUAAAAGGGCUAUUAGUCUCCUUGACCCUUAAACACCUUCAUAUCACUUACAUGCAAUGUGGGGUCAAUACUUUAAUGACUUUCUUUCGACAGGAUUGUUGGAGCCUGGGGUUGAGGGUUAUAGCCAAGAGAGUAGUUGGGAGGAGCAGAGCAUGUAUCGUGGCCUUCAAGCCUCUUCUACAACAACCACCACCUCCACCCCUCCGGACUGACUGAGCAAUCAUGACCCGUCCCUUUGACAAGGUCGGCAUAGACCACACUGGCCCUAUCCAAGUAAUGGUGGAGUGGGGCACACUCUGAUCAUCACCAGUUUGGUCAGCCAUUCAGUAUACCUGGACUACUGUAGCAGGCUGGACGCCGACACCUUCGUGUUGCCACUGAGAUUUGCUGCCACCCAUGGCGCCCCCACCACUGUGUACAGUGACAAUGCAAUGACCUCCCAUGCAGCAAGUACCUUUCUAAAGGAAGUGUACGAUGAGGACAUCACUCGGCAGUUCCUGCAUAGGACCAGAACAAAGUGGAUCUUCGAGACUCCCAGAUCUCUGGAAAGGGGGAUUUUUUGAAAGGUUGAUUGGGGUAGUCAAGAGGAUGCUGGCUACCACCAUUCGAUGUAAUGUCUUCCAUGAAGAACAGCUUCGAACCCUCAUUAAGGAGGCUGAGGCUGUUGUUAACAACCACCCCUUGAUGUACACCAGGGACAUGCAUGAGGAAGAAGCCCUCCCCCAUCGUACCUCAUCCAUGGAGAUGUAGUCCAUCUGCUCUCGCCUGUGGUCCCGGAUGAGGACAUGCACCAGAUGUUGACCACUAGGCAACUGUGUCAGCAAUACUUCAGACUAACCGAGACCCUCAAUAAUUUCAAAUGUUACCGGAGGGAAGGUUACCUGAAGUCACUACAGGAAUGACACGACCUAUGAGAGGCUCCCCUGACUGCACUGCAUGAAGGCGACAUCGUGUUGAUCAAGGCUGAUCAACAGAAGAGCAGUCAAUGUCCCCUCAGUAAGAUCAUCGAAGUAUACCCUGACAGCAGGGGGAUCAUCAGGUCACUGAAAGUACUCUUUGAAGACUAGGAACACCUGCGAGCAGUCCAACACAUCAUCCCACUUGAGAUCAACGCCCAUAAUGACAAGCAAGAAGAAGAAGGGAACCAGGACAACGACGGUUAUGACGCAGAAGGAAAUGGUGGAAGUCAGGCCGAGGAUAGUGAAGAAGAGUUGAAUCGACAGACUGGGAGACUAUAUAAGUGAUCGUGGAACAGAUAGUGAUAGGGAUGAAGAGAAUGAGACAGUGAAUGAAGUUGAGAUCUGAUUAAAAAGGAAAUCUGCUGUUGAACAGAGAAAAAGAAUGUUGGAGUGGGUAAAAGAUGAUUUAGUGUAGUGUGUUGUUAACAGUUAAGAGGUGAACUAUGAAAGAGCGCACGUUGAGAGGAGAUUUGAAGAUUGUAGGAUAAGUAUGUAUCAUGUUACUGAUAGCAGUAAUACUACGUACUGAACCAAGUGUUGUUAUGUCUGUGGUUAGCAACACAUUACCUAAGUUGGCGUGAACGCCAGUUGCCCUGUACCCCCCUUAGGAUUAAGACGCCUCUAUAAUAAACCAUCAACAUGG